AUUGAACGCUGGCGGCAGGCCUAACACAUGCAAGUCGAACGAGUGGCGGACGGGUGAGUAAUGUCUGGGAAACUGCCUGAUGGAGGGGGAUAACUACUGGAAACGGUAGCUAAUCAAGCAUACCAUCAGAUGUGCCCAGAUGGGAUUAGGUUGGUGGUGGUGUAAAGGCUCACAAAGGCGACGCUCCCUAGCUGGUCUGAGAGGAUGAACAGCGACACGUGAACUUAGACACGGUCCAGACGCCUACGGGAGGCAGCAGUGGGGAAUAUUGCACAAUGGGCGCAAGCCUGAUGCAGCCAUGCCGCGUGUAUGAAGAAGGCCUUCGGGUUGUAAAGUACUUUCAGCGGGGAGGCGUUACCCGCAGAAGAAGCACCGGCUAACUCCGUGCCAGCAGCCGCGGUAAUUC
rnacentral:rRNA from 1 species